rnacentral:rRNA from 1 species
GUGGGGAAUAUUGCGCAAUGGGGGAAACCCUGACGCAGCGACGCCGUGUGAGGGAAGAAGGCUUUCGGGUCGUAAACCUCUGUCAGAAAGGAAGAACCUCCCAUAUCCGAAUAGGGUGUGGGACUGACGGUACUUUCAAAGGAAGCACCGGCUAACUCCGUGCCAGCAGCCGCGGUAAUACGGAGGGUGCUAGCGUUAAUCGGAAUCACUGGGCGUAAAGCGCGCGUAGGCCGCUUCUUAAGUCGGACGUGAAAGCCCUCGGCUCAACCGGGGAACUGCGUUCGAUACUGCGAGGCUUGAGUCCUGGAGAGGGUGGCGGAAUUCCGGGUGUAGGAGUGAAAUCCGUAGAUAUCCGGAGGAACACCGGUGGCGAAGGCGGCCACCUGGACAGGUACUGACGCUGAGGCGCGAAAGCGUGGGGAGCAAACAGGAUUAGAUACCCCUGUAGUCC